rnacentral:rRNA from 1 species
GAACUGAAGAGUUUGAUCAUGGCUCAGAUUGAACGCUGGCGGCAGGCCUAACACAUGCAAGUCGAGCGGAUGAGUGGAGCUUGCUCCAUGAUUCAGCGGCGGACGGGUGAGUAAUGCCUAGGAAUCUGCCUGGUAGUGGGGGAUAACGUUUCGAAAGGAACGCUAAUACCGCAUACGUCCUACGGGAGAAAGUGGGGGAUCUUCGGACCUCACGCUAUCAGAUGAGCCUAGGUCGGAUUAGCUAGUUGGUGGGGUAAUGGCCCACCAAGGCGACGAUCCGUAACUGGUCUGAGAGGAUGAUCAGUCACACUGGAACUGAGACACGGUCCAGACUCCUACGGGAGGCAGCAGUGGGGAAUAUUGGACAAUGGGCGAAAGCCUGAUCCAGCCAUGCCGCGUGUGUGAAGAAGGUCUUCGGAUUGUAAAGCACUUUAAGUUGGGAGGAAGGGCAGUAAGCGAAUACCUUGCUGUUUUGACGUUACCAACAGAAUAAGCACCGGCUAACUUCGUGCCAGCAGCCGCGGUAAUACGAAGGGUGCAAGCGUUAAUCGGAAUUACUGGGCGUAAAGCGCGCGUAGGUGGUUCAGCAAGUUGGAUGUGAAAGCCCCGGGCUCAACCUGGGAAUUGCAUCCAAAACUACUGAGCUAGAGUACGGUAGAGGGUGGUGGAAUUUCCUGUGUAGCGGUGAAAUGCGUAGAUAUAGGAAGGAACACCAGUGGCGAAGGCGACCACCUGGACUGAUACUGACACUGAGGUGCGAAAGCGUGGGGAGCAAACAGGAUUAGAUACCCUGGUAGUCCACGCCGUAAACGAUGUCGACUAGCCGUUGGGAUCCUUGAGAUCUUAGUGGCGCAGCUAACGCGAUAAGUCGACCGCCUGGGGAGUACGGCCGCAAGGUUAAAACUCAAAUGAAUUGACGGGGGCCCGCACAAGCGGUGGAGCAUGUGGUUUAAUUCG